GAUGAACGCUGGCGGCGUGCCUAAUACAUGCAAGUCGAGCGAACAGAUGAGGAGCUUGCUCCUCUUACGUUAGCGUCGGACGGGUUAGUAACACUUGGAUAACCUACCUAUAAGACUGGGAUAACUUCGGGAAACCGGAGCUAAUACCUGAUAAUAUAUUGAACCGCAUGGUUCAAUAGUGAAAGACGGUUUUGCUGUCACUUAUAGAUGGAUCCGCUCCGCAUUAGCUAGUUGGUAAGGUAACGGCUUACCAAGGCAACGAUGCGUAGCCGACCUGAGAGGGUGAUAGGCCACACUGGAACUGAGACACGGUCCAGACUCCUACGGGAGGCAGCAGUAGGGAAUCUUCCGCAAUGGGCGAAAGACUGACGGAGCAAAGCCGCGUGAGUGAUGAAGGUCUUCGGAUCGUAAAACUCUGUUAUUAGGGAAGAACAAAUGUGUAAGUAACUAUGCACGUCUUGACGGUACCUAAUCAGAAAGCCACGGCUAACUACGUG
rnacentral:rRNA from 1 species